GGGCAGGGGCAUGGGCAGGGGCAGGGGCAUGGGCAGGGGCAGGGAGCAGCGUGCCAUUUGGCACACUGAACAGGCUCACCAUGAGUGAGCAGUGAGCCUCCUCACAGCUUACCCACUAGUGACUUUUUCUAUCCAAAGAUUCUCUGGCUGAAAGGAACGGCGAGGGAGUGGUUUGAGGAGAUACGGUGUCUUGACUUUCUUUUCACAAUUCUUUUUUUCCCCCCUUGUCUUGACAUUACCCCGUUGCAUUUAAAAUACUUACUGAUUCCUCUGGUUUAAAAAAUGCACAUGUUCAUUGUAUGGUGUCGAAGGCCCUCCACGAAGGGCAGAGGGAGCAAAGCCACAUUCGGUUAACUGCCAUAAACGUGUUGAUGCAUUUCUUUACUUUUACUUUCCAAAUUUUUCCUUUUUGAGCCAGGGUCUUGCUGUGUAGCCCAGACUGGCUCCGAACUUGGAAUCUUCCUUCUCCAUCAUUCCAAAUGCUGAGAUUUUUGCCUGCCUUAAAACACCUGGGUCAGACUUGAAACUUCAUCUCUCUGUUUUUGCACACUGUACCGUGAUGAACCUCAACAUAAAAUACUGGUUUUGGUUAAUCCCCAAGACACAAAGACAGACAGGCCACGUCUGUAGCAAAUGGCAUUUGUCCAUGUGUUUUGGAGACAAAAGGAAGGCUGGGGCAGUGUCUGAGGAGGCCAGGCUGCAGGUAAGG
rnacentral:lncRNA from 1 species